UACGAAGGGGGCUAGCGUUGUUCGGAUUUACUGGGCGUAAAGCGCACGUAGGCGGAUCUUUAAGUCAGAGGUGAAAUCCCAAGGCUCAACCUUGGAACUGCCUUUGAUACUGGGGAUCUUGAGUCCGGGAGAGGUGAGUGGAACUGCGAGUGUAGAGGUGAAAUUCGUAGAUAUUCGCAAGAACACCAGUGGCGAAGGCGGCUCAGUGGCCCGGUACUGACGCUGAGGUGCGAAAGCGUGGUGAGCAAACAGG
rnacentral:rRNA from 1 species